rnacentral:rRNA from 1 species
GAACUUCCCCUUUUCCGUCUAUCGCUUGGAGAACGUGGGGCGGCCUAAUAAGCAAGUCGGGAACAGAUAAGAGCUUGUUCCUUUGNCGUAGCNGCGGACGGGUGAGUAACACGGUGAAUACCCUCCNUAUAAGACCUGGAUAACUUCGGGAAACCGGAGGCUAAUNCCGGAUAACAUANUGAACCGCAUGGUUCAAUAGUGAAAGGCGGCUUUGCUGUCACUUAUAGAUGGAUCCGCGCCGUAUUAGCUAGUUGGUAAGGUAACGGCUUACCAAGGCAACGAUACGUAGCCGACCUGAGAGGGUGAUCGGCCACACUGGAACUGAGACACGGUCCAGACUCCUACGGGAGGCAGCAGUAGGGAAUCUUCCGCAAUGGGCGAAAGCCUGACGGAGCAACGCCGCGUGAGUGAUGAAGGUCUUCGGAUCGUAAAACUCUGUUAUUCAGGGAAGAACAAAUGUGUAAGUAACUGUGCACAUCUUGACGGUACCUGAUCUAGAAAGCCACGGCUAACUACGUGCCAGCAGCCGCGGUAAUACGUAGGUGGCAAGCGUUAUCCGGAAUUAUUGGGCGUAAAGCGCGCGUAGGCGGUUUUUUAAGUCUGAUGUGAAAGCCCACGGCUCAACCGUGGAGGGUCAUUGGAAACUGGAAAACUUGAGUGCAGAAGAGGAAAGUGGAAUUCCAUGUGUAGCGGUGAAAUGCGCAGAGAUAUGGAGGAACACCAGUGGCGAAGGCGACUUUCUGGUCUGUAACUGACGCUGAUGUGCGAAAGCGUGGGGAUCAAACAGGAUUAGAUACCCUGGUAGUCCACGCCGUAAACGAUGAGUGCUAAGUGUUAGGGGGUUUCCGCCCCUUAGUGCUGCAGCUAACGCAUUAAGCACUCCGC